UAGCUAUGAUGUGGAUAGGCAUUUAGAAGUUCCUUAAAUCUCUCACAACAUUAGAAGAAGAUUUCUUCCUCUUUUUGUGAAAAAUUUAUUGUGUCUCUUCUAAGGGU